rnacentral:tRNA from 1 species
AAUGAAUUGCCUGAAAAAGGACUACCUUGAUAGGGUAAAACAUGUAAUUUUAAUAAUUACAUUCAUUA